CCUGACGCAGCAAUGCCGCGUGGAUGAAGAAGGCCUUCGGGUUGUAAAGUCCUUUCGUGGAGGACGAAAAGGUGGGUUCUAAUACAAUCUGCUAUUGACGUGNAUCCAGACGCAAGAAGCACCGGUCUAACUCACGUGCCANCAGCCNCGGUCAAUACNGAGCGUGGUGCAAGCGUUAAUCGGAAUCACUGGGCGUAAAGGGUGCGUAGGCGGUACGUUAGGUCUGUCGUGAAAUCCCCGGGCUCAACCUGGGAAUGGCGGUAGAAACCGGCGCAAUAGANUAUGGGAGAGGGUGGUGGAAUUCCANGUGUANCGGUGAAAUGCGUAAAUAUCUGGAGGAACAUCAGUGGCGAAGGCGGCCACCUGGCCCAAUACUGACGCUGAGGCNCNAAAGCNUGGGGAGCNNACANGAUUAAAUACCCUGGUAGUCCACGCCCUAAACGAUGAAUACUAGAUGUUUGGUGCCUAGCGUACUGAGUGUCCUAGCUAACGCGAUAAGUAUUCCGCCUGGGAAGUUACGGNCGCANGGUUAAAACUCAA
rnacentral:rRNA from 1 species